UACGUAGGGGGCAAGCGUUGUUCGGAAUUACUGGGCGUAAAGGGCGCGUAGGCGGCAUGGCAAGUCGGGAGUGAAAGCCCGGGGCUCAACCCCGGAACUGCUUUCGAAACUGCCAAGCUAGAGUGCGGAAGGGGCAACUGGAAUUCCCAGUGUAGCGGUGAAAUGCGUAGAUAUUGGGAAGAACACCGGAGGCGAAGGCGGGUUGCUGGGCCGACACUGACGCUGAGGCGCGAAAGCCAGGGGAGCGAACGGG
rnacentral:rRNA from 1 species